GACGAACGCUGGCGGCGUGCUUAACACAUGCAAGUCGAGCGGUAAGGCCCUUUCGGGGGUACACGAGCGGCGAACGGGUGAGUAACACGUGGGUGACCUGCCCUCAGCUCUGGGAUAAGCCUGGGAAACCGGGUCUAAUACCGGAUAUGACUCCAUGACGCAUGUUGUGGGGUGAAAGCCUUGUGCGGCUGAGGAUGGGCCCGCGGCCUAUCAGCUUGUUGGUGGGGUGAUGGCCUACCAAGGCGACGACGGGUAGACCGGCCUGAGAGGG
rnacentral:rRNA from 1 species